rnacentral:rRNA from 1 species
UACGUAGGGUGCAAGCGUUAAUCGGAAUUACUGGGCGUAAAGGGCGCGUAGGUGGCCUGUUAAGUCGAACGUGAAAUCUCCGGGCUCAACCCGGGAACUGCGUCCGAGACUGGCAGGCUCGAAUCCGGGAGAGGGAUGUGGAAUUCCGGGUGUAGCGGUGAAAUGCGUAGAUAUCCGGAGGAACACCGGGUGGCGAAGGCGGCUUCCUGGACCGGACACUGACGCUGAGGCGCGAAAGCUAGGGGGAGCAAACGGG